UACAGAGGGGGCAAGCGUUAUUCGGAAUUAUUGGGCGUAAAGGGCGCGUAGGCGGCCUGGCAAGUGGAAGGCGAAAUCCCUCGGCUUAACCGAGGAACUGCCCUCCAAACUGCUUGGCUUGAGUCCGGGAGAGGUGAGUGGAAUUCCCAGUGUAGCGGUGAAAUGCGUAGAUAUUGGGAGGAACACCAGUGGCGAAGGCGGCUCACUGGACCGGAACUGACGCUGAGGCGCGAAAGCGUGGGGAGCAAACGGG
rnacentral:rRNA from 1 species